GCCAGCAUAGCAUAGCGGUUUGAGUGUUAGACUACAACUCUGAAGACCAGGGUUUGAUUCCCACCUCGGCCA